rnacentral:rRNA from 1 species
GAUGAACGCUGGCGGCGUGCCUAAUACAUGCAAGUCGAGCGAACGGACGAGAAGCUUGCUUUUCUGAUGUUAGCGGCGGACGGGUGAGUAACACGUGGAUAACCUACCUAUAAGACUGGGAUAACUUCGGGAAACCGGAGCUAAUACCGGAUAAUAUUUUGAACCGCAUGGUUCAAAAGUGAAAGACGGUCUUGCUGUCACUUAUAGAUGGAUCCGCGCUGCAUUAGCUAGUUGGUAAGGUAACGGCUUACCAAGGCAACGAUGCAUAGCCGACCUGAGAGGGUGAUCGGCCACACUGGAACUGAGACACGGUCCAGACUCCUACGGGAGGCAGCAGUAGGGAAUCUUCCGCAAUGGGCAAAAGCCUGACGGAGCAACGCCGCGUGAGUGAUGAAGGUCUUCGGAUCGUAAAACUCUGUUAUUAGGGAAGAACAUAUGUGUAAGUAACUGUGCACAUCUUGACGGUACCUAAUCAGAAAGCCACGGCUAACUACGUG